GCGAAAGUGGCGGAAUUGGUAUACGCGCUACUUUGAGGUGGUAGUGAGAGAAAUCUCGUAGGGGUUCAAGUCCCCUCUUUCGCA
rfam:Neochlamydia sp. EPS4 DB42_AJ, whole genome shotgun sequence.